CUGUUGAUCUCUGUGAGGAGAUGCUGCAGAUCUCCAUGUUCAUGUUAGUGAAGGAGCUCCCGGCCUCACUGCCGCAUUCUGGAUAUGAAGAGCUGGAGGAUAUGAUGUUCUUCAGCCUGUGAAGAGCAAUGAUCAGCAGGGCAACCUGCCUAUCAGUGGGCUCGUAAACUGGUGCGGGUUGUUGAUAGGCCACCGCCGGUCCAUUAGGACUUUGGGGUGGUCACAUCGGCUCAGUGGUGCACACAGAAGAGAGUCUGGAGUGGAAUGGCAUAUGGAUGGAGCUUUGGAUGCAAGUGGUGGGGCAGAGCUAUGCAUGUCAAUAGGACCGAGGCGUCAUGCCUCCUGGGAAGGUCUUAUCUCUUCUGCUCUGUGCACUGAAGACACGGAACACAGCUUACGGAUCGAUGCAAAGCAAAGCAUGACUGUCACUUCUAUUAUUCAGUAUCAUGAAUGGGAUUUUUUUUCUGUAUUAAUGAAGGCUUACAUUCUUACUCAUGGAUCAUCAGUGAUUUAUCUUGAAUCAGUAGAAAACUAUCUAUUCCUCUUAAAGGGACAGUUCUCCAAAACAUUAAAUUCUCUCAUCAAGUACUCACCCUUGUGUCUUUCUGAACCUGUCAUUCAACUGUUUUUGUCCAUGUAGGACAACAGGGUUCAAAACAACAUUGAUCCCCAAUGACCUUCAGGCUACACCAUAACAAACUGUGACAUUUACUAUAAAUAGACAGA